rnacentral:rRNA from 1 species
AGUGAACGCUGGCGGUAGGCCUAACACAUGCAAGUCGAACGGCAGCACAGUAAGAGCUUGCUCUUACGGGUGGCGAGUGGCGGACGGGUGAGGAAUACAUCGGAAUCUACUUUUUCGUGGGGGAUAACGUAGGGAAACUUACGCUAAUACCGCAUACGACCUACGGGUGAAAGCAGGGGAUCUUCGGACCUUGCGCGAUUGAAUGAGCCGAUGUCGGAUUAGCUAGUUGGCGGGGUAAAGGCCCACCAAGGCGACGAUCCGUAGCUGGUCUGAGAGGAUGAUCAGCCACACUGGAACUGAGACACGGUCCAGACUCCUACGGGAGGCAGCAGUGGGGAAUAUUGGACAAUGGGCGCAAUCCUGAUCCAGCCAUACCGCGUGGGUGAAGAAGGUCUUCGGGUUGUAAAGCCCUUUUGUUGGGAAAGAAAAGCAGCAGGUUAAUACCCCGCUGUUCUGACGGUACCCAAAGAAUAAGCACCGGCUAACUUCGUG